GAUGAACGCUGGCGGCGUGCCUAAUACAUGCAAGUCGAGCGAACAAACGAGGAGCUUGCUCCUCUGACGUUAGCGGCGGACGGGUGAGUAACACGUGGAUAACCUACCUAUAAGACUGGGAUAACUUCGGGAAACCGGAGCUAAUACCGGAUAAUAUAUUGAACCGCAUGGUUCAAUAGUGAAAGACGGUUUUGCUGUCACUUAUAGAUGGAUCCGCGCCGCAUUAGCUAGUUGGUAAGGUAACGGCUUACCAAGGCGACGAUGCGUAGCCGACCUGAGAGGGUGAUCGGCCACACUGGAACUGAGACACGGUCCAGACUCCUACGGGAGGCAGCAGUAGGGAAUCUUCCGCAAAGGGCGAAAGCCUGACGGAGCAACGCCGCGUGAGUGAUGAAGGUCUUCGGAUCGUAAAACUCUGUUAUUAGGGAAGAACAAAUGUGUAAGUAACUAUGCACGUCUUGACGGUACCUAAUCAGAAAGCCACGGCUAACUACGUG
rnacentral:rRNA from 1 species